GAUGAACGCUGGCGGCGUGCUUAACACAUGCAAGUCGAACGGUGAACACGGAGCUUGCUCUGUGGGAUCAGUGGCGAACGGGUGAGUAACACGUGAGCAACCUGCCCCUGACUCUGGGAUAAGCGCUGGAAACGGCGUCUAAUACUGGAUAGGACCCGCGAAGGCAUCUUCAGUGGUUGGAAAGAAUUUCGGGUGGGGAUGGGCGCGCGGCCUAUCAGCUUGUUGGUGAGGUAAUGGCUAACCAAGGCGUCGACGGGUAGCCGGCCUGAGAGGGUGACCGGCCACACUGGGACUGGGACACGGCCCAGACUCCUACGGGAGGCAGCAGUGGGGAAUAUUGCACAAUGGGCGAAAGCCUGAUGCAGCAACGCCGCGUGAGGGAUGACGGCCUUCGGGUUGUAAACCUCUUUUAGUAGGGAAGAAGCGAAAGUGACGGUACCUGCAGAAAAAGCACCGGCUAACUACGUGCCAGCAGCCGCUGUAAAAC
rnacentral:rRNA from 1 species